GACGAACGCUGGCGGCGUGCUUAACACAUGCAAGUCGAACGGAAAGGCCCUGCUUUUGUGGGGUGCUCGAGUGGCGAACGGGUGAGUAACACGUGAGUAACCUGCCCUUGACUUUGGGAUAACUUCAGGAAACUGGGGCUAAUACCGGAUAGGAGCUCCUGCUGCAUGGUGGGGGUUGGAAAGUUUCGGCGGUUGGGGAUGGACUCGCGGCUUAUCAGCUUGUUGGUGGGGUAGGGGCUUACCAAGGCUUUGACGGGUAGCCGGCCUGAGAGGGGGACCGGCCAGAUUGGGAGUGAGAGACGGGCGAGACUCGUACGGGAGGCAGCAGUGGGGAAGAGUGCACAAGGGGCGGAAGCCUGAUGCAGCAACGCCGCGGGCGGGAUGACGGCCUUCGGGUUGUAAACCGCGUGCGCCUGUGAAGAAGCGGGAGUGAGGGUAAUGGGUAAAGAAGCACCGGCGAACUAGGUG
rnacentral:rRNA from 1 species